UACGGGGGGGGCAAGCGUUGUUCGGAAUUACUGGGCGUAAAGGGCUCGUAGGCGGCCAACUAAGUCGGACGUGAAAUCCCCAGGCUCAACCUGGGAACUGCGUCCGAUACUGGAUGGCUUGAAUCCGGGAGAGGGAUGCAGAAUUCCAGGUGUAGCGGUGAAAUGCGUAGAUAUUGGGAAGAACACCGGUGGCGAAAGCGCUCUGCUGGGCCUGCACUGACACUGAGGGACGAAAGCUAGGGGAGCGAAAGGG
rnacentral:rRNA from 1 species